rnacentral:rRNA from 1 species
AUUGAACUCUGGCGGCAGGCCUAACACAUGCAAGUCGAACGAGUGGCGGACGGGUGAGUAAUGUCUGGGAAACUGCCUGAUGGAGGGGGAUAACUACUGGAAACGGUAGCUACUACCGCAUACCAUCAGAUGUGCCCAGAUGGGAUUAGCUAGUUGGUGGGGUGACGGCUCACCAAGGCGACGAUCCCUAGCUGGUCUGAGAGGAGUACCAGCCACACUGGAACGGGGAAACGGUCCAGACUCCUACGGUAGGCAGCAGUGGGGAAUAGUGCACAAUGGGCGCAAGCCUGAUGCAGCCAUGCCGCGUGGAUGACGAAGGCCUUCGGGUUGUAAAGUACUUUCAGCGGGGAGGCGUUACCCGCAGAAGAAGCACCGGCUAACUCCGUGCCAGCCGCCGCGGUAAUUC